rnacentral:rRNA from 1 species
GACGAACGCUGGCGGCGUGCUUAACACAUGCGAGUCGAACGGAAAGGCCCUGCUUGCAGGGUGCUCGAGUGGCGAACGGGUGAGUAACACGUGGGUGAUCUGCCCCUUAUUUUGGGAUAAGCCUGGGAAACUGGGUCUAAUACUGGAUAGGACCAUGCUGUAGGUGGUGUGGUGGAAAGAUUAGUUUCGGUAAGGGAUGAGCUCGCGGCCUAUCAGCUUGUUGGUGGGGUAAUGGCCUACCAAGGCGUCGACGGGUAGCCGGCCUGAGAGGGUGGACGGCCACAUUGGGACUGAGAUACGGCCCAGACUCCUACGGGAGGCAGCAGUGGGAAUAUUGCACAAUGGGCGCAAGCCUGAUGCAGCGACGCCGCGUGGGGGAUGACGGCCUUCGGGUUGUAAACUCCUUUCAGCCAUGACGAAGCCCUUGUGGUGACGGUAGUGGUAGAAGAAGCACCGGCUAACUACGU